rnacentral:tRNA from 1 species
GUGAGCGUAGCUCAAUGGUAGAGCAUUAGUUUGUGGAACUAAGGGUUGCGGGUUCAAGUCCCGUCGUUCACC